GACGAACGCUGGCGGCGUGCCUAAUACAUGCAAGUCGAACGCAGUGGGGACGGGUGAGUAACCCGUGGGUCACCUCCCAUCAGAGGGGAUAACACUUUGAAACAGGUGCUAAACCGAUACUGAUGGAUGGACCCGCGGUUCAUUAGCUAGUUGGUGAGGUAACGGCUCACCAAGGCCACGAUUCAUAGCAGACCGGAGAGGGUGAUCGGCCACACUGGGACUGAGAAACGGCCCAGACUACUACGGGAGGCAGCAGUAGGGAAUCUUCGGCAAUGGACGAAAGUCUGACCGAGCAACGCCGCGUGAGUGAAGAAGGUUUUCGGAUAGUAAAACUCUGUUGUUAGAGAAGCGGUAACUAACCAGAAAGCCACGGCGAACGACGUGCCAGCAGCCGCGGGAAUAC
rnacentral:rRNA from 1 species